rnacentral:tRNA from 1 species
GGAAGAUCACGGACCAGGUCUUCCAACGUAUAUAAUGUUCAACCACACUGGUCUCUAGGAGCAGAGU